UACGGAGGGUGCAAGCGUUAUCCGGAUUCACUGGGUUUAAAGGGUGCGUAGGUGGGCUGGUAAGUCCGUGGUGAAAUCUCCAGCUUAACUUGGAAACUGCCGUGGAUACUAUUAGUCUUGAAUCUCGUGGAGGUAAGCGGAAUAUGUCAUGUAGCGGUGAAAUGCUUAGAUAUGACAUAGAACACCGAUAGCGAAGGCAGCUUGCUACACGAGUAUUGACACUGAGGCACGAAAGCGUGGGGAUCAAACAGG
rnacentral:rRNA from 1 species